rnacentral:rRNA from 1 species
UACGUAGGGUGCAAGCGUUGUCCGGAAUUAUUGGGCGUAAAGAGCUCGUAGGCGGUCUGUCACGUCGGCUGUGAAAACCUGGGGCUCAACCCCGGGCCUGCAGCCGAUACGGCAGACUAGAAUUCGGUAGGGGGGACUGGAAUUCCUGGUGUAGCGGUGAAAUGCGCAGAUAUCAGGAGGAACACCGGUGGCGAAGGCGGGUCUCUGGGCCGAUAUUGACGCUGAGGAGCGAAAGCGUGGGGAGCGAACAGG